CAACAUGUUCACUAUCACUCAAUUGGCUUCUUUUUUCAUUUACUUGAGCAGUCGGUUUUAACUUCCUGGGCGUAGGUUUUGCUUCUUAUAAUGUCCCUUGAACUAGAUCACACAUGUUUGUGGCUCAAAUAGCUCAGGAGCGCCAGUAGUUAACUCUGUUCAGCAACAACUGAGUCUGCUUGUCGAUGAAAUGCCUCAAUUGCAACGAACUUUUUGUUGGUUUCAGAUGUAUAUGUUAUUUAGCCAUGUGAUGUUCGUGCUAUAAGUUGGUUUCACAUGGCACUAACUAUCUCACUUGUCGAAUCACGUGGCAUGUGUUUUUGUAGAAAACGAUUGAGAAGUUCGAUUGUCUUUGAAGCUGAGAGGGGAUAUUAUAAUGCUCUGGACAGAAAAAUGAGAUAUAGUACUUCUCUCCUAUCUAAAUUAUCAAAGUUAUGUUAUCGAUCAAAGCAUAAGUUUGCUGAAAAGCUGUUGGAAGAAGUGGGUAAAUAUGAUCCAGCAAGCAUUUCUGAUCGGUCAAAGUUGCUUAAUAAGGUA